rnacentral:lncRNA from 1 species
AUGCUCGCGGUCCUUGCAGGGUGCUCGUGGUCCUUGCAGGAUGCUCGUGGCCUUGCAGGAUGCUCAUGGUCCUUGCAGGGUGCUCGCGGUCCUUGCAGGAUGCUUGUGGUCCUUUCAGGGUGCUCAUGGUCCUUUCAGGGUGCUCAUGGUCCUUGCAGGGUGCUCGCGGUCCUUGCAGGGUGCUUGUGGUCCUUGGAGGAUGCUCAUGGCCCUUUCAGGGUGCUCGUGGCCUUUCAGGGUAUUCGUGGCCUUUCAGGGUGCUCGUGGUCCUUGCAGGAUGCUCGUGGCCUUGCAGGAUGCUCAUGGUCUUUGCAGGAUGCUCAUGGUCUUUGCAGGAUGCUCAUGGUCCUUUCAGGGUGCUCGUGGCCUUGCAGGGUGCUCGUGGUCCUUGCAGGAUGCUCAUGGCCCUUUCAGGGUGCUCGUGGCCUUGCCAGGUGCUCGUGCCCUUGCCGGGUGCUCGUGGCCGCUCUUUGGACCUGCGUCCUCCCGUGGCCGCGUGCUGCAUGGAAAGGCGGGUGGAAAGGUGUUCAUUUUCCCGUAGCAAGAGCGGAAAGCUUUGCAGCCACCAAAAAUCGCCCACUGAGAUGCUCAUAUUUAUUUUAUACGUGUUCAUAUUUAUUUAAGGCUUUCAUAGUUAUUUAUUUAUCUUUAAAAGAUCAAAGGCCCGCGAGCAGCCCGCGGUCGGCCCGAGGAGCUCCCGGGCUCCGCUCCGGUCCCGUCCUCCUCCCGCUGCCGCAAACCUUGCCCGGCCCCGCGCCCCGGCCUCACGCCGCCUUUCUUCUCUCCGCAGCGGCGGCGGCGGCGGCGGGGCCCGCCGGGACGCCCGGACCAUGUUGGCGUGUCUGCAGCGGACCCAGAACCCGCCGGCCCAGCACCUCGCCUGUCCCAGCAAGAGCCUGGAGCCGCGCAAGGGCGAGCCGGCGGCACCCAUGCAUUCCCCGCGCUACCCCAGCCCCGCCGAGCUGGACGCCUACGCACAGAAGGUGGCUCACAGCCCGCUGACCAUCAAGAUCUUCCCCACCAACAUCAGGGUCCCCCAGCACAAGCACCUUAACCGGACGGUCAACGGGUUCGACACCGCGGCGCCGCGCUACAGCCCCUACCCGCUGCACGCCGGCGGCUACCAGGGGCUGCUGGCCGUCGUCAGGGCCUCCGGCAAGGGCGUCCUGAAGAGCGCGGAGGGGAAGCGGACUAAGCCGUCGCCCGCCCAGGUCGGCGUCGCUCCCUACCCGGCGUCAAGCACUUUAGCGCACGGGCCCUCCUGCGCGCCGCAGCUCGCCUACCGCGGCGGUCACAAGGCCGCGGAGACGCCCGGCACGGCC